rnacentral:rRNA from 1 species
UGGGGAAUCUUGCGCAAUGGGCGAAAGCCUGACGCAGCGACGCCGCGUGGAGGAUGAGGCCCUUCGGGGUGUAAACACCUGUUGCUUGGGACGAACGGCGGGCAUCGGCCCGCUUGACGGUACCGAGUGAGGAAGCACCGGCUAACUCUGUGCCAGCAGCCGCGGUAAUACAGAGGGUGCGAGCGUUGUCCGGAAUUACUGGGCGUAAAGGGCGCGUAGGCGGCCCCAUAACGCGUGCCGUGAAAGCCCGGGGCUCAACCCCGGGUCGGCGGUGCGAACGGGGGGGCUGGAGCACAUCAGAGGCAGGCGGAAUUCCGGGUGUAGCGGUGGAAUGCGUAGAGAUCCGGAAGAACACCGGUGGCGAAGGCGGCCUGCUGGGGUGUGGCUGACGCUGAGGCGCGACAGCGUGGGGAGCAAACAG